GACGAACGCUGGCGGCGUGCUUAACACAUGCAAGUCGAACGGAAAGGCCCUGCUUUUGUGGGGUGCUCGAGUGGCGAACGGGUGAGUAACACGUGAGUAACCUGCCCUUGACUUUGGGAUAACUUCAGGAAACUGGGGCUAAUACCGGAUCGGAGCUCCUGCUGCAUGGUGGGGGUUGGAAAGUUUCGGCGGUUGGGGAUGGACUCGCGGCUUAUCAGCUUGUUGGUGGGGUAGUGGCUUACCAAGGCUUUGACGGGUAGCCGGCCUGAGAGGGUGACCGGCGACAUUGGGGCUGAGAUAGGGCCCAGACUCCUACGGGAGGCAGCAGUGGGGAAUAUUGCACAAUGGGCGGAAGCCUGAUGCAGCAACGCCGCGUGCGGGAUGACGGCCUUCGGGUUGUAAACGGCUUUCGCCUGUGACGAAGCGUGAGUGACGGUAAUGGGUAAAGAAGCACCGGCUAACUACGUG
rnacentral:rRNA from 1 species